AGAGUUUGAUCCUGGCUCAGGAUGAACGCUAGCGGCAGGCUUAAUACAUGCAAGUCGAGGGGUAACGACAUCUUCGGAUGGGCGACGACCGGCGCACGGGUGCGUAACGCGUAUGCAACCUACCUUUAACUGGAGAAUAGCCCCGAGAAAUCGGGAUUAAUACUCCAUAGUAUUCACUUUUCGCAUGUUUAGUGAAUUAAAGUUUCGAUGGUUAAAGAUGGGCAUGCGUGACAUUAGAUAGUUGGUGAGGUAACGGCUCACCAAGUCAACGAUGUCUAGGGGUUCUGAGAGGACUAUCCCCCACACUGGUACUGAGACACGGACCAGACUCCUACGGGAGGCAGCAGUAAGGAAUAUUGGUCAAUGGACGAAAGUCUGAACCAGCCAUGCCGCGUGCAGGAUGACUGCCCUAUGGGUUGUAAACUGCUUUUGUAUAGGAAGAAACUUCCGCACGUGUGCGGAACUGACGGUACUAUACGAAUAAGCACCGGCUAACUCCGUGCCAGCAGCCGCGGUAAUACGGAGGGUGCAAGCGUUAUCCGGAUCUAUUGGGUUUAAAGGGUGCGUAGGCGGAAUAGUAAGUCAGUGGUGAAAUCCUGCAGCUCAACUGCAGACCUGCCAUUGAUACUGUUAUUCUUGAGUACAUUUGAAGUGGGCGAAUAUAUCAUGUAGCGGUGAAAUGCAUAGAUAUGAUAUAGAACACCGAUAGCGAAAGCAGCUCACUAAACUGUAACUGACGCUCAGGCACGAAAGCGUGGGGAGCAAACAGGAUUAGAUACCCUGGUAGUCCACGCCGUAAACGAUGAUCACUCGUUGUUGGCAACACAUCGUCAGCGACUGAACGAAAGCAUUAAGUGAUCCACCUGGGAAGUACGAUCGCAAGGUUGAAACUCAAAGGAAUUGACGGGGGCCCGCACAAGCGGAGGAGCAUGUGGUUUAAUUCGAUGAUACGCGAGGAACCUUACCUGGGCUUAAAUGCAAGACGACCUUCACCGAAAGGUGAAUUUCCUUCGGGACGGCUUGCAAGUUGCUGCAUGGUUGUCGUCAGCUCGUGCCGUGAGGUGUCGGGUUAAGUCCCAUAACGAGCGCAACCCCUAUUCUUAGUUGCCAUCAGAUAAUGCUGGGGACUCUAAGAAAACUGCCUACGCAAGUAGUGAGGAAGGUGGGGAUGACGUCAAAUCAGCACGGCCCUUAUGUCCAGGGCUACACACGUGCUACAAUGGUCGGUACAGAGGGUCGCUACCUGGUGACAGGAUGCUAAUCUCGAAAACCGGUCUCAGUUCGGAUCGAAGUCUGCAACUCGACUUCGUGAAGUUGGAUUCGCUAGUAAUCGCAUAUCAGCAAUGGUGCGGUGAAUACGUUCCCGGGCCUUGUACACACCGCCAG
rnacentral:rRNA from 1 species